rnacentral:rRNA from 1 species
UAGGGAAUAUUGCGCAAUGGACGAAAGUCUGACGCAGCGACACCGUGUGAAGGAUGAAGGUCCUCGGAUUGUAAACUUCUGUCAAUUGGAGACGAAGGUACUUAGGGUUAAUAGCCUUAAGUAUUGACGGUACCCAAUAAGGAAGUCUCGGCUUACUCCGUGCCAGCAGCCGCGGUAAGACGGGGGAGGCAAGCGUUGUCCGGAAUUAUUGGGCGUAAAGAGCGCGUAGGUGGUUUAUCAAGUCAUUUGUGAAAACUUUAGGCUUAACUUAAAGAUUGCAAGUGAUACUGGUAUACUUGAGCACAGCAGAGGAAAGUGGAAUUCCUGGUGUAGCGGUGAAAUGCGCAGAUAUCAGGAAGAACACCAGUGGCGAAGGCGGCUUUCUGGGGCUGUUGCUGAC